rnacentral:tRNA from 1 species
AAAGAAUUAGUUAAAAUAACAUAAAUAUGUCAAAUUUAAAUUAUUAGUAAUACUAAUAUUCUUUU